AACCUCCGCAAUGCGAGCAAUCGCGACGGGGGGACCCCAAGUGCUACUCUUAACGGGGAGCUUUUAUGAAGUGCUUUAAGAAUAAGGGGUGGCAAGCUGGUGUCAGCCGCCGCGGUAAUACCAGCACCCCGAGUGGUCGGGACGAUUAUUGGGCCUAAAGCAUCCGUAGCCGGCCUUACAAGUCCCCCGUUAAAUCCACCCGCUCAACGGUUGGGCCGCGGGGGAUACUACAGGGCUAGGAGGCGGGAGAGGCAAGCGGUACUCGAUGGGUAGGGGUAAAAUCCACUGAUCCAUUGAAGACCACCAGUGGCGAAGGCGGCUUGCCAGAACGCCUCGACGGUGAGGGAUGAAAGCUGGGGGAGCAAACCGGAUUAGAUACCCGGGUAGUCCCAGCUGUAAACGAUGCAGACUCGGUGAUGGGCGGUGCCGCAGGGAAGCCGUUAAGU
rnacentral:rRNA from 1 species